rnacentral:rRNA from 1 species
GUGGGGAAUUUUGGACAAUGGGCGCAAGCCUGAUCCAGCAAUGCCGCGUGCAGGAAGAAGGCCUUCGGGUUGUAAACUGCUUUUGUACGGAACGAAACGGUCCUGGUUAAUACCUGGGGCUAAUGACGGUACCGUAAGAAUAAGCACCGGCUAACUACGUGCCAGCAGCCGCGGUAAUACGUAGGGUGCAAGCGUUAAUCGGAAUUACUGUGCGUAAAGCGUGCGCAGGCGGUUUUGUAAGACAGGCGUGAAAUCCCCGGGCUCAACCUGGGAAUUGCGCGUGAGACUGCAAGGCUGGAGUGCGGCAGAGGGGGAUGGAAUUCCGCGUGUAGCGGUGAAAUGCGUAGAUAUGCGGAGGAACACCGAUGGCGAAGGCAAUCCCCUGGGCCUGCACUGACGCUCAUGCACGAAAGCGUGGGGAGCAAACAGGAUUAGAAACCCUGGUAGUCC